rnacentral:rRNA from 1 species
CCUACGGGAGGCAGCAGUGGGGAAUAUUGCGCAAUGGGCGAAAGCCUGACGCAGCGACGCCGCGUGUGGGAUGACGGCCUUCGGGUUGUAAACCACUGUCGGGAGGGACGAAGAUCUGACGGUACCUCCAAAGGAAGCACCGGCUAACUCUGUGCCAGCAGCCGCGGUAAUACAGAGGGUGCGAGCGUUGUCCGGAAUCACUGGGCGUAAAGGGCGCGUAGGUGGCCUGAUAAGUAGGGGGUGAAAUCUCGUGGCUCAACUGCGAGGCUGCCUCCUAAACUGUCAGGCUUGAGCAGAGUAGAGGCAGGUGGAAUUCCCGGUGUAGCGGUGGAAUGCGUAGAGAUCGGGAAGAACAUCGGUGGCGAAGGCGGCCUGCUGGGCUCUUGCUGACACUGAGGCGCGACAGCGUGGGGAGCAAACAGGAUUAGAUACCCUGGUAGUCCACGCCGUAAACGAUGGGUACUAGGCGCCGGGGGGAGCGACCCCUUCGGUGCCGUCGCUAACGCAAUAAGUACCCCGCCUGGGGAGUACGGCCGCAAGGCUGAAACUCAAAGGAAUUGACGG